rnacentral:rRNA from 1 species
GACGUAGGGGGCAAGCGUUGUCCGGAAUCAUUGGGCGUAAAGCGCUCGUAGGUGGAUCGGUAAGUCUGCAAAGAAAGACCCGGGCUCAACUCGGGGAACGGUGUGGAUACUACCGAUCUUGAGGCAAUCAGAGGAUGAUGGAAUUCCCGGUGUAGCGGUGAAAUGCGUAGAUAUCGGAAGGAACGCCCGUGGCGAAAGCGAGCCCCUGGACGUCUGCUGACGCUGAGGCGCGAAAGCUAGGGGAGCGAACGGG